UACGUAGGGUGCGAGCGUUAAUCGGAAUUACUGGGCGUAAAGCGUGCGCAGGCGGUGAGCUGUGUCCGAUGUGAAAGCCCCGGGCUUAACCUGGGAAUGGCAUUGGAAACUGGCUCGCUGGAGUGUGGCAGAGGGGGGUGGAAUUCCGCGUGUAGCAGUGAAAUGUGUAGAGAUGCGGAGGAACACCGAUGGCGAAGGCAGCCCCCUGGGCUAACACUGACGCUCAGGCACGAAAGCGUGGGGAGCAAACAGG
rnacentral:rRNA from 1 species